rnacentral:sRNA from 1 species
GCUGGGCAUGGUGGCACAUGCCUGUAAUCCCAUCAACUCAAGAGGCUGAGACAGGAGGAUUGGAAGGUUGAGACUAGCCUCAGCAACUUAAUGAGCAAUUUAGCAAGACCCUGUCUCAA